rnacentral:lncRNA from 1 species
AAACACAGCUUUCAGAUACCACUUUUGUCUAGAAGUCCUGAAAUGCGUUUUAUCUGUCCCAUAAUGCUGGAGGACUUCUGUAUAUUUUAAAUUAUACCAAGGAGAAUACAGUGUGGAAUUCAUUUUUGAUACUAUGUCUUAUCCAAUGGUUAAUACACUACUGAUAUAGUGCCACUACUAUCACAUUGUGUUAAGCAGUGUAGAGGGGAUUUUUUUUUUUUUACAAAUAAAAUCUGCUAAAAGUUAUUCUUUUGUACAGGGCAGCAAUGUGGCUUCCAUUUAAGCAGAAACACGUGAUGAAAGUCCAUAGUUCACAAUGUCUGAAGCAUCGCAGAGCAAGAGGGACAUAAACGGGGGUUACCUAUGGACACCAUCAUUUUAUACCUUUGCUUUUGACAGUCCGUUUAAGUUAGACCCUAACUUUAGUGUUUCCUAAUAUUGCCUCAAGAAUUGUUUUUAUAUCAUCAUGUUUAUAUAAUGUAUGAUGAGAAAGUAUCUUAGGAAAUAAAUUGCAUGCAGGUUGAAAAAAAAACCUACUUUGAAGAAGUUAGAAUCACAUUGAGCCUCGUGGAUCUCUCAUUCUCUAUUCCUUUAGGUUAUUCCAUUCUGCAAUAUUAGCUGAGCUAUGUUUUGGAAGUUUGGACAUGUUGUCUUAUCUGCAUUGACAGGUUACCAGCAUAGUGUUGAGGAGAAUCCCAGAGAUCUGAAUCCCAGGAGAAGUCAGCCCAUCCUGCUGUUCGUGGGAAUCUAUAAAGGAGGUGCACAAAGCUCCAGUUGCCCCUGAUUUGAGAGAUGUCUCCAGAGCAGCACUUGUUCCUGGUGGCGUUGGUGGCUGAUGCGUUCUCCAAGUCCCCAUGAAAACUGAACUCUGAACUUAGGUAGGGGGACCAGCUUUUCAGAGAGACCACCCAGGACACAGCCGCAGCAGCAGGACAACAACUUUAUAUAUAUAGUGUACACAUGCUUGUCAUAUUCAUAUAUAUAGAUAGUAUAUCCAUACUACAUAUGUAUAUAUUUGUUUAUAUGAUAGACAUGUUAAUCACCUUAAGAUAUGAAAACUAUGUGCUUAUUUGAAGUCAUAUACGAUUCCAUAUUAUUUACUUUUGUUACAUAAAUGUUACUAAUUAAACAAAAAUAAGACUACUGAAUG